AUCCCGAUGCUAUUCUAGAGAUAGAAAGUUACUUCGGUACAUCGGUGACAGGUGGUGCAUGGUUGUCGUCAGCUCGUGUCGUGAGAUGUUGGUUAAGUCCCGCAACGAGCGCAACCCUAUUGUUAGUUGCCAUCAUUCAGUUGGGCACUCUAGCGAGACUGCCGGUAAUAAACCGGAGGAAGGUGGGGAUGACGUCAAUCAUCAUGCCCCUUAUGACCUGGGCUACACACGUGCUACAAUGGUUGGUACAACGAGUUGCGAGUCGGUGACGGCGAGCUAAUCUCUUAAAGCCAAUCUCAGUUCGGAUUGUAGGCUGCAACUCGCCUACAUGAAGUCGGAAUCGCUAGUAAUCGCGGAUCAGCACGCCGCGGUGAAUACGUUCCCGGGCCUU
rnacentral:rRNA from 1 species